CACUUUUUUUUUUUGUAUAGGAUAACAUACGAUACUUAUCACUGCCAAUCCGAGGACCAACCCCCCCAAAACGAAGAACAAUUGUGGAGAGGAUUACCUAUAGGCCUUGCCCAUCAACACCGAAAAAGAAGGAAAGGAUAAUUGCAAAAGAUUUUGUGUAUAAGUUAUCCCUUCGGGGGUUACACAGAAAAUGCUACUGUGAUUGCAAUGCGUUUGGUUUGGAUAUGGCGAGUUUCAUUCCUGUGGUGGCUGACCGCUCUAGAGGAUGUGGGAUGCGAAUUUUGGAGUUGAAUCACAACAGCUGUGUACUCGCCUUUAAAAAAAGGCCCAGAUUAGGAAUCAUAAAACACCUGAGAUAUACAUACAGCCGCAAUUUUUUAAAUAACGGCGUGUGUCGUAAACUAUUUUUGUAAAUUUUUUUUUU